CCGUCGAUAGCUCAGUUGGUAGAGCGGUGGACUGUAGAUCCAUAGGUCCCUGGUUCGAAUCCGGCUCGACCGA
rnacentral:tRNA from 1 species